CAUCACUGGUGUUCGGGUUGUCAUGCCAAUGGCACUGCCCGGUAGCUAAAUGCGGAAGAGAUAAGUGCUGAAAGCAUCUAAGCACGAAACUUGCCCCGAGAUGAGUUCUCCCUGACUCCUUGAGAGUCCUGAAGGAACGUUGAAGACGACGACGUUGAUAGGCCGGGUGUGUAAGCGCAGCGAUGCGUUGAGCUAACCGGUACUAAUGAACCGUGAGGCUUAACCUU
rnacentral:rRNA from 1 species